UACGUAGGCAGCAAGCGUUGUUCGGAAUUACUGGGCGUAAAGAGUGCGUAGGCGGUGUUCCAAGUCUGUUGUGAAAUCUCCCGGCUCAACUGGGAGGGUGCGGCGGAAACUGGGACGCUGGAGUACGGGAGAGGUAAGCGGAAUUCCUGGUGUAGCGGUGAAAUGCGUAGAUAUCAGGAGGAACACCUGCGGUGUAGACGGCUUACUGGACCGUAACUGACGCUGAGGCACGAAAGCGUGGGUAGCAAACAGG
rnacentral:rRNA from 1 species